rnacentral:rRNA from 1 species
ACUCCUACGGGAGGCAGCAGUAGGGAAUCUUCCACAAUGGACGAAAGUCUGAUGGAGCAACGCCGCGUGAACGAUGAAGGCCUCGGUCGUAAGUUACUGUUGUAAGGAAGAACAAGUAGCCGCAGGCAAUGGCGGCACCUUGACGGUACCUUGCGAGAAAGCCACGGCUAACUACGUGCCAGCAGCCGCGGUAAUACGUAGGUGGCAAGCGUUGUCCGGAAUUAUUGGGCGUAAAGCGCGCGCAGGCGGCCUCUUAAGUCUGAUGUGAAAGCCCCGGCUCAACCGGGGGAGGGCCAUUGGAAACUGGGAGGCUUGAGUAUAGGAGAGAAGAGUGGAAUUCCACGUGUAGCGGUGAAAUGCGUAGAGAUGUGGAGGAACACCAGUGGCGAAGGCGACUCUUUGGCCUAUAACUGACGCUGAGGCGCGAAAGCGUGGGGAGCAAACA